AUGGCCGGUGGUGCAGGCCGAACGGAGGGAGGAGGAGGCACAGGCGCUGACGAGCCUGGGGCGCCGGACCACUGUAGCGGUGGGUCGAGAGGCCAGGGAGACCCUGGAAGGGUCGAGGUCGCCGGCGGGCUGGAUCGCCGGAGCGGCGCGACGGUUCCUGGUGGUGCGAAGGAGCCAUGGAGGCGAUGCAGACGAUGGAGACAGGGAACGGUGGGAGCAGAAGGAGCUCGCGACGACACAUCAAACGGGGAGGCCCUCGAGCAGAGGAGCAGGCGACAUGGAGGGGCGACAGCAGAGUAG
rnacentral:rRNA from 1 species